GGUCUGGUGGUGUAGUGGUUAUCACGUCAGUCUCACACACUGAAGGUCGGGAGUUCGAACCUCCCCUAGAUCA
rnacentral:tRNA from 3 species